rnacentral:rRNA from 1 species
GACGAACGCUGGCGGCGUGCUUAACACAUGCAAGUCGAACGGUGAAGCGCCUUCCUUUUUGGUGGGUGUGGAUGAGUGGCGAACGGGUGAGUAACACGUGAGUAACCUGCCCCCUUCUUCUGGAUAACCGCAUGAAAGUGUGGCUAAUACGGGAUAUUCUGGGUCUGUCGCAUGAUGGGUCUGGGAAAGAUAUUGUUUCGGUGGGGGAUGGGCUCGCGGCCUAUCAGCUUGUUGGUGGGGUGAUGGCCUACCAAGGCGGUGACGGGUAGCCGGCCUGAGAGGGUGGACGGUCACACUGGGACUGAGACACGGCCCAGACUCGUACGGGAGGCAGCAGUGGGGAAUAUUGCACAAUGGGCGCAAGCCUGAUGCAGCGACGCCGCGUGAGGGAUGGAGGCCUUCGGGUUGUGAACAUCUUUCGCCAGUGAAGCAGGCCUGCCUCGUUUGUGGGUGGGUUGACGGUAGCUGGAUAAGAAGCGCCGGCUAACUACGUG